rnacentral:pre_miRNA from 1 species
UUUGUACUCCCUCCGUCCAGAAAUACUCGUCGGAGGAAUGGAUGUAUCUAGAUGUAUUUUAGUUCUAGAUACAUUCAUUUUUAUGCAUUUCUUCGACAAGUAUUUCCGGACGGAGGGAGUAAUCU